rnacentral:tRNA from 1 species
UUUAGGGAGACCCGACUCAAUUCAAAAGUUAAAAUUCAAAGUUCAAAAGCAAGAAAGAGUUUUUGGAAAUUUGGAUUUCUUAGAAAACUUUGAAUUGGUUUUAUCCCGAGGUCGGUCGCAAGAAUAGUGUAAGCUUUCAAACUAUAAGUUAGGUUCGGAUAUGGGCUAUUAGCUCAGGUGGUUAGAGCGCACCCCUGAUAAGGGUGAGGUCCCUGGUUCGAGUCCAGGAUGGCCCACCUGAAAACAGUGAACAUUGUGCAGUAAACAGUGGUCAGAAAUCUAAAAAUGAUGGUAACUGUGAACUGAUAAUUGUAAACUGAAAUUUAGGGGGGUAUAGCUCAGUUGGUAGAGCGCCUGCUUUGCAAGCAGGACGUCAGGAGUUCGAGUCUCCUUACCUCCACCUGAGUCUUAAGUAAUUCACUUUUCUAAUUUCACCUUUAUUUGGUGUGCUCAAAUAGCACCAAAUAAAAAUAGAGUGCACGCGAGUGAAAAAAUCAAAAGCAAAGUUACGACCAGAAAAAAUUGGAUAAGAUUCAGCAUCUUGUGAGCAAAAGCAAGAAUGCUGGAAAAUUUCCAGCAAAAGAACCUUGAAAACUGCAUAGAAACGCGAAAUUUGUCAGGUAGUUAACUGUUAUUCACAGUUAAAACUCCAAGCAUAAACAGCAAUGAUUGUUUGU